GUCUACAGCCAUGCUACCUUGAAUGUGCCCGAUCUUGUCUGAUCUCGGAAGCUAAGCCGGGUCGGGCCUGGUUAGUACUUGGAUGGGAGACCACCUAGGAAUUCUGGGUGCUAUAAGCA
ensembl:rRNA 5S_rRNA 5S ribosomal RNA